GGAGAAGGCUAUGUUAGCCGGGCGACGGUUGUCCCGGUUUAAGCAUGUAGGCUGAUUGUCCAGGCAAAUCCGGAUAAUCAAGGCUGAGGUGUGAUGACGAGGCACUACGGUGCUGAAGUAACUAAUGCCCUGCUUCCUGGAAAAGCCUCUAAGCAUCAGGUAACAUCAAAUCGUACCCCAAACCGACACAGGUGGUCAGGUAGAGAAUACCAAGGCGCUUGAGAGAACUCGGGUGAAGGAACUUGGCAAAAUGGUGCCGUAACUUCGGGAGAAGGCACGCUGGUGUGU
rnacentral:rRNA from 1 species